AUUCAAUCCCUGUGGGGCUGACUGAAUUCAAUGUCCAUGGAGUCUAGCCUACAUAUUUUACUAGGUAUGGAAAUACUUGGUCUACAACAUUAAAUUACAUGAACAUUUUAU